rnacentral:rRNA from 1 species
AUUGAACGCUGGCGGUAUGCUUAACACAUGCAAGUCGAGCGGCAGCAUGAUAUGUAGCAAUACGUAUUGAUGGCGAGCGGCGGACGGGUGAGGAACGCGCAGGAAUCUGCCUUUUAGAGGGGGACAACUAGAGGAAACUCUAGCUAAUACCGCAUAAAGUCUACGGACCAAAGGCUGGGUAGCAAUACCUGGCGCUGAAAGAGGAGCCUGCGUCCGAUUAGCUAGUUGGUAGGGUAAAGGCCUACCAAGGCGAAGAUCGGUAGCUGUUCUGAGAGGAAGAUCAGCCACACUGGGACUGAGGCACGGCCCAGACUCCUACGGGAGGCAGCAGUGGGGAAUAUUGGACAAUGGGGGCAACCCUGAUUCAGCAAUACCGCGUGUGUGAAGAAGGCCUUCGGGUUGUAAAGCACUUUAGGUUGGGAAGAAGGUGAGCAGUUUAAGAGAUGGCUCAUUUGACUGUACCGACAGAAUAAGCACCGGCUAACUCUGUGCCAGCCGCCGCGGUAA